CUGCCAGUAGUGAUAUGCUUGUUUCAAAGAUUAAGCCAUGCAUGUGUAAGUAAAAAUGAACUUUUACAGUGAAACUGCGGAUGGCUCAUUAAAUCAGUUUUAAUUUGUUUGGUGGAUGUUGAGAAACUACAUGGAUAACCGUAGUAAUUCUAGAGCUAAUACAUGCACGAACGCCCGGCCUCGCGGUCGGGUUGUAUUUAUUGGAUCCCAAAACCAAACCGUUUCGGCGGUUCUGUUUGUUGAUUCACAAUAACUUGUCGGAUCGUUUCUUCGGAAGCGAUAUGCCAAAUAGGACUCUGCCCUAUCAGCUUUCGAUGGUUCUGUCUUGGAGAACCAUGGCAUUUACGGGUGACGGAGAAUCAGGGUUCGAUUCCGGAGAGGGAGCUUGAGAAUCGGCUACCACAUCUAAGGAAGGCAGCAGGCGCGCAAAUUACCCAAUCCUGACUCAGGGAGGUAGUGACAAAAUAUAACAAUACCGGUUCUCUAUGGGCUGGUAAUUGGAAUGAGAACAACUUAAACUCGUUAUCGAGUAUCAACCGGAGGGCAAGUCUGGUGCCAGCAGCCGCGGUAAUACCAGCUCCAGUAGCGUAUACUAACGUUGUUGCAGUUAAAAAGCUCGUAGUUGUGUUUGUUUCUGGUGCUCGGCGGGCGGGGUGUUGAGGAUGUCACGUCCGCUGGGUAUCGGACGAAAAUUUUGGGCCGUGCGUACGUGGUGUCUUCACUGAUGUUGCGAUGAUGCGGCCCAUCUAUUACUGUGAGAAAAUUAGAGUGUUCAAGGCAGGCAUUUGCAACUGAAUAUACUAGCAUGGAAUAAUGAGAUACGGCUUCCGUGUCUUUUUUGGUUUUGUGACGUGGAAGUAAUGACUGAUAGGGACGGUUGGGGGUGCUAGUAUUCAGCGGCCAGAGGUGAAAUUCAUGGAUUCCCUGAAGACUGUCAAUUGCGAAAGCAUUCACCAAGGACGUUCUCUUUAAUCAAGAACGAAAGUUGGGGGAUCGAAGACGAUCAGAUACCGUCGUAGUCUCAACCAUAAACUAUG
rnacentral:rRNA from 1 species